rnacentral:tRNA from 1 species
AUUUAUAUAGUUUAAAUUAAAACAAUACAUUUUCAUUGUUUAAAUAAAUAAAAUUAUUUUAUAAAUA